AUGUGGGAGCAGAGCCCGUACAGAGGAGAUCGCGUGCAAGAGGAGCAUUUGAGCUUUGGCACAAGACCACAGUUCCCCAGAUCAAAACUCAGGCCGUCGCCUCCUCUGGCAUUUGCACGUUUCAAGCCUUGUGCUUUUCAUAGAAUCAGAUAUCACUUCCCUCAGGCUACUCCAGGUUCUGAACCGCCAGUUGAAGGCUCGGGAUUACUGGGGAGAUGUUGGUCGGUCGUCUACCCCUUGAUUUCCUCAAGCUCUGCCACUCUUCUCUCCUUAGAAGCCUAAGUGCCCUGGCUUCCACCACCAGGCUCAGGUGAGAAAUCAUGAGGUUCUACCCACUGAAAAGCAAGGCUUUGAUCUGUGAUAGGCUUUCCUUGAUCUAACUGGGUGGCUUAUAAACACUGAUUAAGCAGCUACUCUGUGCCAGUGCUGCCUCUGGCACAGGGAAAGUGGAGAUGGAUCAGAUUCAGUCCCAACCCUCCCGGGAUCCACAUUCUGGGGGACAAACAGCUAGCCGAUUAAUUACAGUGCGGUGUUAUAAAUGCUUCAUCCCAGGAGCACUAAUCCUGACCUGGAGAUCAGAGAAACUGUGUCUUGAAGGAUGAGUAGAAGUUCUCAGAUCAAAGGAAUGGAGAAGGUACCUGUGAGGGACAGAGAGAGCAUAAGGUGAGGAGGGGUCUGAGGGAGCUGGGGAUCCUUGGGGGACGCAGGGUGGCUUCGUGUGGCAGAGGAUGUAGAGAGGCAGCUCAUUAGAAAGGGGAGCAGGAGAUGCGUCCUGGAGGUCUAACAAAUCAUGCCAAGGAGUUAGGUUCCAUUUUAUAAGAACAGAGACCCAUCAGAGCGUUUUGAGCAGAGACGUGCAGGACCAUCUGUGUGAAAGCAGUGAAGGCAGGAAGACUUGUCAGAAGCUGCAGUUCGGAGGAUGAAUCCUGAGAACUUCAGAAUGGCAGCAGAACAGAGAAUAGAGAUGAGGGGGAGAUUCUCCAAGCAUUUUGAAGAUAUUUUGGGGAAAACAGAGAUUUAAAAAAAUCUGAGUUUAAACAUUAGUGUUACCACUUCCUGCCCAAUUGAUAUCGGCCAAGACUCUAUGAUUCAGUUUUCUUGAGCUCUACAAUAUGGAUAGUAAACAUAAUAUCUGCCUCAUAGA
rnacentral:lncRNA from 12 species